CAGCGUGUCGUAACCCAGGGCAACGGCCGGGUAGGCAGCGACCUGAGUAGCCCUUGCCAGGAGGCCGGUACUCGCUGUCGCGCGGCCUUCCAUCCGCUCGGCCCCACAGGAAAAGACCACCAAUAUUCUCUUUUAGUAGUGGAGCAUCUUGAUCCUGCCUGAAGUACACCAGUGUUCCGAAGGUGCAUCUGUUGAACUGCAAGAAGAUGUUAAAAACUUUAAGCAGCCAUCACAGUAAUGGAUCUCUGUCAAAAAAAUGAGACUGACUUAGAAAAUGGUGAAAAUAAUGAAAUUCAAUGCAAAGAAGAAACAGAACCAACCUAUACUUGUCCAGAUGGAAGAAGUGAAAAGAAUCAUGUUUAUUGUCUUCUCGAUAUCAGUGACGUUACACUUGAACAAGAUGAAAAAGCCAAAGAGUUUAUUAUUGGAACUGGAUGGGAAGAGGCAGUCCAAGGGUGGGGAAGGACUUCUCCAGCUGCCUGCAUCUGGCCGAGGAAGAUACCAAAACAGGCGAGGGUAGGGGAAGGUGCCUGCAGCGACUGCUUGGUGUGUGUUAACCUCUCCCACUGGAGCCUCGAGACGAAGCCUCCUACUGAGGGGGGCCCAGAGAAGGAUCAGAGCAGCCCCUCCCAGACUCAGGCAGCCCCCCAGGGCCCCAACACUGCUUCCAGGGCGAUUAGCGACAUCUGCUUUCCCACCUACUUUCGAGCAGAGAAAAAAAGUCUGCAAAUCAAGGAGUUUAUUUGGUGCAACGAAGACUGGGCCAUCCCCAACACUAAUAGGGGCAAGGCCCUUGGGAACCCCAGUGGAGGGGCCCACAGAGGGCUGUCCAUCCCAGGCCCCCUGACUUCCAGGGCUCUCUUAGUUCUGCCUCCCCUGAAGGCUUCACUUUCAAAUGCUUUGGAUGUUCUGGGUAAGAAGAGUAAGAACUCUUUCUUGCAGUCAGAAGAGAAGGUGCUGAGUGUGGAAAAGGAUGGGUGUGUGGCUUGUGCAUAUGACUUGAAAACAGCAGAUGGGAAAGGUGAAAAGAGACCCAGUGAGCUGGCCAAACACCCUGUGGUCAACGACACGCCAUCUUCCCCUUCCCCAGCGGCCCGGACAUCCCUGCUCGCCGAUCCGGAGCAGUGCUGCCUGCAGUGGUCCCUCCUGUCUGAGAAAAACCUGGCGUGCCCUCCAGACCCCAGCAACGUUCGCUACCUUGCUGCCUUGCCGCUUCUGCAGAAACGGGGAGUGCAAAACUACAAAUCCAAAUUAAAAGUCAAGGAGCCAAGAUCUCCUGUGAUCACUCAAAAGCACGUUCUCCCAAAGGCCAAGCAGGAAAACAGGCCCCAAAUGCUGGAGACCAAAGUUUUCCCAAGACCUCUCUUGCCGUCUCUCACAGUGAGCAGAGUUGUCAUUCCCAUCUCUACCCACAGGAUCCUCUGAGCGGUCACGGUAGAACCCCUGGGAAUAAGCACUGCUUGAGAUGCAGCCAUCCUUUCUCUGUCUUCUCUCUCAUUUACCACCCACCUCCCACUCUCUCUUUCUCUCCUCCCCGUCAAUCUGUCUUUCCUCUUCUUUUCCUCCAUUUUUUUUUUUUUUGUAGUACAACCGAAGAAAACUGAACCUCAGUGGAUAGGUUGGGAUUUAUUUUCUAAAACACCAUAUUCAUGUGUUACCUGCUUCUGCUAUUUAGCCAUUCACAAAAUGCCAAUUGGUCAUGCCAGCCCCGGCCUCUGCCUGCCUCAUGUCCACUCCCAGCAGAAGCCAUGCAGAAGGUGGGGAAUCCAAAGGGCCUCCUUCCCUCCAUGCUGGCCCCGGCUCAAGCCCAGAGGCGUCUGGCAGGUGUCCUUUCUGCCCCACCCCUGUGCCUCAAACUAAGUAUACUGGGCUGGUUUAGACCAAACUGCCUCCUGAUCUUUUGAACGAAGCAGGUGUCUAUCUACUGCCUCAUUUGCUCUUGCAACAAAGAUCUGAAGAAUUGCUUUAGUAGAAAACUCCAGGCCAGGUGCGGUGGCUCACGCCUGUAAUCCCAGCACUUUGGGAGGCCAAGGCGGGCAGAUCACCUGAGGUUGGGAGUUCAAGACCAGCCUGACCAACAUGGAGAAACCCUGUCUCUACUAAAGUAAAAAAAAUUAGCCGGGCGUGGUGGCACAUGCCUGUAAUCCCAGCUACUCAGGAGGCUGAGGCAGGAGAAUCGCUUGAACCCAGGAGGCAGAGGUUGUGGUGAGCCGAGAUCAUGUCAUUGUAUUCCAGCCUGGGCAAUAAGAGCGAAACUCCACCUCAAAAGAAAGAAAAGAAAACUAGCUUGUGUCCAGGACGUCCAAGGCAUUAGAGACCCUGUGUGUCCAGGGUGUCAUACCCUGAGAUUGUUUCCGUGUACAUACACUAUCUAUCGUCUCCUGCAUGUUCAGGGUGCCAUAUCCUUAGAUUGCACCCUCAUACUAAUCUCUGUGUGGAAGUUUUAGCUACAGUGCUACAGAAUCCAGCCUGGGAAGCAGGUUAAGAAUAAUUACUUUCUGGGGCCGGGCACGGUGGCUGACGCCUGUAAUCCCAACACUUUGGGAGGCCGAGGCGGGCGGAUCACGAGGUCAGGAGAUCGAGACCAUCCUGGCUAACACGGUGAAACCCCGUCUCUACUAAAAAUACAAACAAUUAGCCAGGCAUGGUGGCUGGCGCCUGUAGUCCCAGCUACUUGGGAGGCUGAGGCAGGAGAAUGGUGUGAACCCAGGAGGCGGAGCUUGCAGUGAGCAGAGAUAUAGUGCCACUGCACUCCAGCCUGGGUGACAGAGCGAUACUCCGUCUCAAAAAAAAAAAAAAAUUACUUUUUGGGGAAAAAUAAAAAGAUCACUGUGAUUAUCAUCCCACAUGCUUCCUCUGGCCUUACUUUGCAACUAAUAUUUGGAAACCCUCAACCCCAGAUACUUUUGGAAAGGGGCUGUUACAUUCUCCCUCUGUCCUUCCUCUAUCCUCAUUUUACCCCAACUCAUAUUCCCACAGUUGCAUCUAAAUUAAAUGACAUUUGUAAAUGAGUUAUAUUUUAAAUGCCAAGUGAUGUUGCUAUGUAGGCACAUGUUCUGAUGAACCGUUCUGUGAUACGAGUAAUUAUUAAGCUGCUUUGUAAUUACAUAGUUUGAAUUUGCUUAAGGUAGGUUGGACUUGAACUCCGGAUUUCUCGUCUCCUAAACGAUGGAGUAGACAGAAUAUAUGACUAUAUUUGUAAAUAUCUGCUUCCAUAGUGGUCUUUGUAAUGUCUUGUCUGUUUGCCUAGGGUUUUGUUUUGCUUUUUUGAGACAGAAUCUCGCUCUGUCACCCAGGCAGUGGCAUGAUCUUGGCUCACUGUAACCUCCACCUCCUGGGUUCAAGCGAUUCUCGUGCCCCAGCCUCCCAAGUAGCUGGUAUUACUGGUGCCCACCACCACACCCAGCUCAUUUUUGUGUUAUUAGUAGAGACUGGGUUUCCGGAGGUUGCAGUGAGCCGAGAUCACGCCAUUGCACUCCAGCCUGGGCAACAGAACAAGACUCUGUCUCAAAAAAAUAAAUAAAUAAGAAUCCAAGGCCUCUUCCCAGACAUUAUCUCUUUUAAUCCUGCAGGGGAAUCGGGGAUCAUUUUCCUCUUCUAACCCAAGGAGAAAUUGUUCAACAGAGGGUUGGGUUUGGUCAGGACAGCAUUAAGGUUUGUAGCCUGGGUUUCUGAAGGCUCAAACUAUAUUUCACAGGUUGGGGACGUCUGAAGUACUAGGUGGAAAAUAUCACAUAAGGCAGGAAGGAGGGUUCAAGAAUGUCGUUUCUUCCUUUAAGAUAGGAACAAUUUUCAGAAACAGGAUGUGGUGAAGAUGACCAGUUAAUGUAUGUUGAACUCCAACAGAGAUCUGUGAUUUUCCUGAAUGUAUUGAGUGGAUCAAAUAUAACAAGCUGGAUAAUUUUCCUCUAGUGAAUGACUGACUGUUUAAAAUUGUAUGGAAGUCCUUUGGCCUGCGAGCUGGCAUUUGGAUAUUUGAUGAUGGGUCUUUACUCUUUAACGGGUUCUCAGAACUUAACUUUGCAACUUGUCAACUAAGGUGCUCCUGGCUUGGGUCCAAUCUGUCUUAAUUCCCUGGCCUUUUUCCUCAUCUGGUUUUGCGUGUAUUUCCACUGUAGCAGUCUAAAUACCAUCACGGUGCAGAUUAAGGCAUGACUCUUGAAUUUGUGCAUACGAAGGUGUUCCAGGAAAAAGCUUUUCAAGUUCAAUCUCCUAGAUCAAAAAGCAUCUGUAUAUUUUCUUGGACACAGUCUCAGGAUAAAUCCAGUAUUCACUGCACACAGUAAAAAGAAGAUAAAGUAGGAGAGGGAUCAGUUUCACAUUCAGUCCUAAGCAGCAACAUGGUUGAGAUGUAAUCAUAAAAGCAAAUAUUUCACCCAGGACAUGGAAAAGCGGUGGAUCACCAGAAAGCAGAGAGUCAAACGCCGCAAGCAGAAGCAGUAAGAAGACGCCAAGUUUGGAGCAAGGUCUUAUUUACACCUGCCAUGGUCAUCAGCUUGCUCUUUUAGGUCUCCCCAACCUGACCCCCAAACAGGGGUUAUAUGCAGAGGUAAUAUAAUAUAUGUACUUUUGAAAAUAACAAAGUCACCGUGGAGAUAAUUUCAAAACAAUUUAUUUUCAUUUUCAGAUAUAUUGGACUAUUGCACUGAUGUUAAAAAGAGUAUGACUUGUUUAAAUUUUUUGUUGUUUCUUAUUUGCAGCCUAAUGUUCUGUGAUAGUAACUUGCUUCCAAGUAAAGUACGAAAAGUUAGUGGAGUGGCCAUGGCUGUGGUCUCUCAUAGGUGAAACUAGACUAUUUUGGAAUGCGUGGAGUUAGAACAAAGUUUUUAUUUUGUUUUUAAUUAGUAAAGCAAUAAAUAAAAUUGUCUUACUAAUAUUUAUUAGUUUUUAUUCUGUUAUUUAUUAGUAAGGCAAUAAAACAUUUAGAGUUUUUUCUGGAGUUUGUUGAAUAAACUGAAUAUUGGUAGUGUUCCAGCUAUGGCAUAGACAGUGCUGCUUUUACUGAUUCACAUAGCUUGGGCCUUGCUCCUUUCAAGCAAGCUGAUUUUUAAAUGCAGUGCCCCUGUGAACGUCAAGAACACCGACAACCUGAGAGCCCUCCCUGUUUGUUUUCUAGCUUGCGUCUCUGGAUAUGUAAGCUGAAAUAUCACCGUAUCUUCUAAUAAAUACUGUUCCAACAAC